rnacentral:rRNA from 1 species
UAGCCCAACCACCACCAUCAAAACCACUACAAAUAUUAAACCAAAACAUUUGCCACCCAGACUAGUAAAUGUGAUUAAACCUCGAGCACCCUGACGCCAUAGUAAAACAGUACCGCAGGGGAAAAAUGAAAUAACACUUCAACACUACGCAAAAAACAGCAGACAUCAAACCCCGUACCUUUUGCAUCAUGGACUAGCCAGUCAACCCAAAACAAAAAGCCAUUACAGCCUUGUACCCCGAAAUCAAGUGAGCUACUCCCAGGCAACUUUAUGAGUCAACCCGUCUCUGUAGCAAAAGAGUGGGACAACCAGAGAGUAGAAGCGACAAACCUAACGAACUUGAUGAUAGCUGGUUACCUGCCACCCAAACGAAUCUAAGUUCGACUUCAAGCCACAACACAAACACUAGUACAACUUCCACGCUUGAAAGAUAUUCAACGGGGGUACAGCCCCGUUGAACCAGUAUACAAACUACCAAAGGAGAACCAACCACAACACACACCCGUAGGCCCUAAAGCAGCCACCACAAACUCAAAGCGUCACAGCAACCACAAACCAAAAAUACCGACAAACAGACCUAACCCUUACACAUACCAGGUCAUUCUAUAAAAUAGAAGAACCAAUGCUAAUAUUAGUAACAAGAAACAUUCUCUCAGCAUACCUUUAAAUCAGCAACAGAACCACUACUGAUAAUUAACCAAGCCAAAACCAAGGAACAACUACACCAACACCAAGACCACAAUUACACUAUCUGUUAACCCGACACAGGAAUGCAACAAAGAAAGAUUAAAAGUCAGAGAAGGAACUCGGCAACAACACACGACCCCAACUGUUUACCAAAAACAUAGCCUUUAGCAAACAAUAUUAAAGGUCCCGCCUGCCCAGUGACACUAACCCGUUAAACGGCCGCGGUAUACUAACCGUGCAAAGGUAGCGUAAUCACUUGUCCCCUAAAUAGCGACUCGUAUGAACGGCUAAAUGAGGGUCCAUCUGUCUCCCCUGACCAAUCAGUGAAAUUGAACUACCAGUACAAAAGCUGGUAUAAACCCAUAAGACGAGAAGACCCUGUGAAGCUUCAAAUGCACACCAACCCCUACACCAUGGACCACCAUUUUUAGUUGGGGCGACUACGGAAACAAACCAAACUUCCCAGAAAAACACCACAGACCCACAUGUCUAACCAUCGACCCAGUACCACUGAAUAACGAACCAAGUUACUCCAGGGAUAACAGCGCUAUCUUCUUCUAGAGUCCCCAUCGCCAAGAAGGUUUACGACCUCGAUGUUGGAUCAGGACACCCAAAUGGCGCAGCCCCUAUUAAAGGUUCGUUUGUUCAACGAUUAAUGUCCUACGUGAUCUGAGUUCAGACCGGAGAAAUCCAGGUCGGUUUCUAUCUAUGUUAAAUUUUCUCCAGUACGAAAGGACCAAGAAAAUAGGAUCCAUCUAACCCAGACAUCCUUGUGACAGUAGCUG